rnacentral:rRNA from 1 species
GACGAACGCUGGCGGCGUGCUUAACACAUGCGAGUCGAACGAAGAGCGAUGGAAGCUUGCUUCUAUCAAUCUUAGUGGCGAACGGGUGAGUAACGCGUAAUCAACCUGCCCUUCAGAGGGGGACAACAGUUGGAAACGACUGCUAAUACCGCAUACGAUCUAAUCUCGGCAUCGAGGAUAGAUGAAAGGUGGCCUCUACAUGUAAGCUAUCACUGAAGGAGGGGAUUGCGUCUGAUUAGCUAGUUGGAGGGGUAACGGCCCACCAAGGCGAUGAUCAGUAGCCGGUCUGAGAGGAUGAACGGCCACAUUGGGACUGAGACACGGCCCAGACUCCUACGGGAGGCAGCAGUGGGGAAUCUUCCGCAAUGGACGAAAGUCUGACGGAGCAACGCCGCGUGAGUGAUGACGGCCUUCGGGUUGUAAAGCUCUGUUAAUCGGGACGAAAGGCCUUCUUGCGAAUAGUGAGAAGGAUUGACGGUACCGGAAGAGAAAGCCACGGCUAACUACGUG